rnacentral:rRNA from 1 species
AUUGAACGCUGGCGGCAUGCCUUACACAUGCAAGUCGAACGGCAGCACGGGAGCAAUCCUGGUGGCGAGUGGCGAACGGGUGAGUAAUAUAUCGGAACGUGCCCAGUCGUGGGGGAUAACGUAGCGAAAGCUACGCUAAUACCGCAUACGAUCUAUGGAUGAAAGCGGGGGAUCGCAAGACCUCGCGCGAUUGGAGCGGCCGAUAUCAGAUUAGGUAGUUGGUGGGGUAAAAGCCUACCAAGCCUUCGAUCUGUAGCUGGUCUGAGAGGACGACCAGCCACACUGGAACUGAGACACGGUCCAGACUCCUACGGAGGCAGCAGUGGGGAAUUUUGGACAAUGGGGGCAACCCUGAUCCAGCCAUGCCGCGUGAGUGAAGAAGGCCUUCGGUUGUAAAGCUCUUUCGGUACAGAAAGAAAUCGCAUCGGCUAAUACUCGAUGUGGAUGACGGUAC